rnacentral:rRNA from 1 species
CGUGCCCUACGGGACGCAGCAGUGGGGAAUAUUGGGCAAUGGGCGCAAGCCUGACCCAGCAACGCCGCGUGAAGGAAGAAGGCUUUCGGGUUGUAAACUUCCUUUGAGAGGGACGAAGAAAGUGACGGUACCUCUUGAAUAAGCCACGGCUAACUACGUGCCAGCAGCCGCGGUAAUACGUAGGUGGCAAGCGUUAUCCGGAUUUAUUGGGUGUAAAGGGCGUGUAGGCGGGAAUGCAAGUCAGAU